UCCAGACUCCUACGGGAGGCAGCAGUGAGGAAUAUUGGUCAAUGGCCGGAAGGCUGAACCAGCCAAUUCUCGUGAGGGAAUAAGGCCCUAUGGGUCUUAAACCUCUUUUGUCAGGGAGCAAAGGCGUCCACGUGUUUACUAUAGGAGAGUACCUUAAGAAAAAGCAUCUUCUAACUCCUUGCCAGCAGCCGCUGUAAUACGGAGGAUUCGAGCGUUAUCCGGAUUUAUUGGGUUUAAAGGGUGCGUAGGCGGAGUGUCAAGUCAGAGGUAAAAUUUCGGGGAGAAACCCCGUCGUGCCGUUGAAACUGACGCCCUUGAGUGAGUGAGAAGUAAGCGGAAUGCGUGGUGUAGCGGUGAAAUGCAUAGAUAUCAAGAAGAACGCCGAUUGCGAAGGCAGCUUACCGGCGCUCAACUGACGCUGAGGCACGAAAGCGUGGGUAUCGAACAGGAUUAGAUACCCCCGUAGG
rnacentral:rRNA from 1 species